GUGCUCACUUCGGCAGCACAUAUACUAAAAUUGUAAUGAUACAGAGAAGAUUAGCACGGCCCCUGUGCAAGGAGGAGGGAAUUUCAAGUCCCAGGACAUACAUUA
ensembl:snRNA LOC120102593 U6 spliceosomal RNA